rnacentral:tRNA from 1 species
GCCGGAAUAGCUCAAUGGCAGAGCAACUGAUUUGUAAUCAGUAGGUUGCAGGUUCAAGUCCUGUUUUCGGCA